AGCAGCCGCGGUAAUUCCAGCUCCAAUAGCGUAUAUUAAAGUUGUUGCAGUUAAAAAGCUCGUAGUUGAAUUUCGGGAUUAGUACGCUGGUCGUGCCUUUGGUACGUACUGGUGUUACUGGUUCCUACCUUCUGAAGAACCGUCAUGUCAUUAAUUUGGUGUGGCGGGGAAUCAGGACUGUUACUUUGAAAAAAUUAGAGUGUUUAAAGCAGGCUCGCGCUUGAAUACAUUAGCAUGGAAUAAUGAAAUAGGACGUUUGAUCCUAUUUUGUUGGUUUCUAGGAUUGACGUAAUGAUUAAUAGGGAUAGUUGGGGGCAUUAGUAUUCAAUUGUCAGAGGUGAAAUUCUUGGAUUUAUUGAAGACUAACUACUGCGAAAGCAUUUGCCAAGGAUGUUUUCAUUAAUCAGGAACGAAAGUUAGGGGAUCGAAGACGAUCAGAUACCGUCGUAGUCUUAACCAUAAACUAUGCCGACUAGGGAUCGGAUGAUGUUAUUUUUAAUGACUCA
rnacentral:rRNA from 1 species